AGUCGAGGGGCAGCGGAGGCGAGUGCUUGCACUUGCCAGACGGCGACCGGCGCACGGGUGAGUAACACGUAUGCGACCUGCCCGUAGCAGGGGGAUAAGCGGAAGAAAUUCCGUCUAAUACCGCGUAAUAUCUUUCGGGGGCAUCCCUGAGGGAUUAAAGGAAGCGAUUCCGGCUACGGAUGGGCAUGCGGCGCAUUAGCUAGUCGGCGGGGUAACGGCCCACCGAGGCGACGAUGCGUAGGGGUUCUGAGAGGAAGGUCCCCCACACUGGUACUGAGACACGGACCAGACUCCUACGGGAGGCAGCAGUGAGGAAUAUUGGUCAAUGGGCGAGAGCCUGAACCAGCCAAGUCGCGUGAGGGAAGACGGUCCUAUGGAUUGUAAACCUCUUUUGUCGGGGAGCAAAAAGGCCUCGUGAGGCCACAAGUGAGAGUACCCGAAGAAAAAGCAUCGGCUAACUCCGUGCCAGCAGCCGCGGUAAUACGGAGGAUGCGAGCGUUAUCCGGAUUUAUUGGGUUUAAAGGGUGCGUAGGCGGACUGGAAAGUCAGCGGUAAAAUCGAGAGGCUCAACCUCUUUCCGCCGUUGAAACUGUCGGUCUUGAGUGGGCGAGAAGUAUGCGGAAUGCGUGGUGUAGCGGUGAAAUGCAUAGAUAUCACGCAGAACUCCGAUUGCGAAGGCAGCAUACCGGCGCCCGACUGACGCUGAGGCACGAAAGCGUGGGUAUCGAACAGGAUUAGAUACCCUGGUAGUCCACGCAGUAAACGAUGAAUACUAAUUGUCCGGUCAGAAUGAUGACUGGGUGAUACAGCGAAAGCGUUAAG
rnacentral:rRNA from 1 species